rnacentral:lncRNA from 1 species
UUAGGAAAAUGAAGAUGUUGACGACUGAAGAAGGGACUGAUGGAUUCUGUGGGAGACAAAAGAAGGAAUCUGGGGAAGGAGAUAUACGGAGAUAGAUAGAGAAACUAAAGGAGAGGCCUUUUGUGACGGUGAAGGGAUGGUUUGGUGAUAUGAUAUGAUGAUUGUAGAUCUCUUUGUUGUUCUCUUCUUUCAAAGCAAAAGAGAAAAAGGAAUCGAAUGGUAAAUUUGUGUGUUAUACCAAAGUCAAGUUUUGCUGUUUGAUUUCAAGAACCAACCGACCUAACUUUUUUUUGUUUUUGUUUUUUGUCGGUAAUAACAUAAGGAUUGUCCUCUUUUGCAUUUCAAGUUCAACUAUUACGUUUUAGUAUUUUUAACAAAAUUUUGAUCCGAGCUUUUAAAUACUUUUUUGCUCUUACCACCAUUAGUCUAAGAUAUGUGUUGACAUGAGAAGAACCAAGUAUUUUGAAUAAAAAAUAUAAAAAAAAGUAAUCUUUAUGACAAUUGAUUGUAUGAUUGAUCAUUUAGAGAAAAAAAAAGAGUAAAUAAUUAUAUACAAUCUUGAAUGAAAUAAUAGAAGCUAAUGGAAAGUGGACCAACAAGAAAUAUAUAAACUAUUUUGAAUGUUUGGGUACUAGUUAUAUUUUUC